rnacentral:rRNA from 1 species
GACGAACGCUGGCGGCGUGCCUAACACAUGCAAGUCGAGCGGAGCUAAUAGCAAUAUUAGCUUAGCGGCGGACGGGUGAGGAACGCGUGGGCAACUUGCCUCAUACCGGGGGAUAACACAGGGAAACUCGUGCUAAUACCGCAUAAGACAGUAGUAUAGCAUGAUACAGCUGUCAAAGGAGUGAUCCGGUAUGAGAUGGGCCCGCGUCCGAGUAGCUAGUUGGUGGGGUAAAAGCCUACCAAGGCGACGAUCGGUAGCCGAACUGAGAGGUUGAUCGGCCACAUUGGGACUGAGACACGGCCCAGACUCCUACGGGAGGCAGCAGGGGGGAAUAUUGCGCAAUGGGGGAAACCCUGACGCAGCAACGCCGCGUGAAGGAUGAAGGCCUUCGGGUUGUAAACUUCUUUGAUGAGGGAAGAAUAAAUGACGGUACCUCAAAAACAAGCCACGGCUAACUACGUGCCAGCCGCCGCGGUAAGAC